rnacentral:rRNA from 1 species
GAUGAACGCUGGCGGCGUGCCUAAUACAUGCAAGUCGAACGAGCUCUUCGGAGCUAGUGGCGGACGGGUGAGUAACACGUUGGUACCUACCCCGAAGUGGGGAAUAACUGCCCGAAAGGGUGGCUAAUACCGCAUAAUACCGUAAGGUUAAAGCAGUAAUGCGCUUCGGGAGGGGCCUGCGUCCCAUUAGCUAGUUGGCGGGGUAAAUGCCCACCAAGGCGACGAUGGGUAGCUGGAUCGAGAGGUUGACCAGCCACACUGGGACUGAGAUACGGCCCAGACUCCUACGGGAGGCAGCAGUAAGGAAUCUUCCACAAUGGACGAAAGUCUGAUGGAGCAACGCCGCGUGCAGGAUUAAGGCCUUCGGGUUGUAAACUGCUUUUAUAUAGGAAGAUUAUGACGGUACUAUAUGAAUAAGGACCGGCUAACUACGUGCCAGCCGCCGCGGUAAGAA